GGCUGAGUGGCAGAGUGGUCAUGCACCGGUCUGCAAAACCGUUGACUCCGGUUCGAUUCCGGACUCAGCCUCCA
rnacentral:tRNA from 1 species